rnacentral:lncRNA from 1 species
UUUUGUCCCCAUGCUCAGGCUCCUUUUAUUGGAUGCGAACACUCUGUUAUUGAAUCCUGCCCUGCAGGAGAAGAUACAAGUUUCCCAGACAGCAGAGAGGUUGUUUCAGAGGCUUAUAAGGGUUUUAAUGUUUCUGAGAGAGUCUGGAACCUGAGAUGCGGGACAAGGAAUGGGUGGCAAUCUCUGUUAUGUGCCACUUAUGUGUCUGGGGGGAAGAGCCUAGAUUAAGUUCUAAGGAUUCGGUGAGUAGAUGAAUAAACCCAAAGGUCCUUAAGGAGCA